rnacentral:rRNA from 1 species
GAUGAACGCUGGCGGCGUGCCUAAUACAUGCAAGUCGAGCGAACGGACGAGAAGCUUGCUUCUCUGAUGUUAGCGGCGGACGGGUGAGUAACACGUGGAUAACCUACCUAUAAGACUGGGAUAACUUCGGGAAACAGGAGCCAAUACCGGAUAAUAUUUUGAACCGCAUGGUUCAAAAGUGAAAGACGGUUUUGCUGUCACUUAGAGAUGGAUCCGCGCUGCAUUAGCUAGUUGGUAAGGUAACGGCUUACCAAGGCAACGAUGCAUAGCCGACCUGAGAGGGUGAUCGGCCACACUGGAACUGAGACACGGUCCAGACUCCUACGGGAGGCAGCAGUGGGGAAUCUUCCGCAAUGGGCGAAAGCCUGACGGAGCAACGCCGCGUGAGUGAUGAAGGUCUUCGGAUCGUAAAACUCUGUUAUUAGGGAAGAACAUAUGUGUAAGUAACUGUGCACAUCUUGACGGUACCUAAUCAGAAAGCCCCGGCUAACUACGUG